AAUAGAUACCCCGGUAGUCCACGCCGUAAACGAUGAAUACUAGGUGUAGGGGUUGUCAUGACCUCUGUGCCGCCGCUAACGCAUUAAGUAUUCCGCCUGGGGAGUACGGUCGCAAGAUUAAAACUCAAAGGAAUUGACGGGGGGCCCGCACAAGCAGCGGAGCAUGUGGUUUAAUUCGAAGCAACGCGAAGAACCUUACCUAGACUUGACAUCUCCUGCAUUACCCUUAACCGGGGAAGUCCCUUCGGGGACAGGAUGACAGGUGGUGCAUGGUUGUCGUCAGCUCGUGUCGUGAGAUGUUGGGUUAAGUCCCGCAACGAGCGCAACCCCUAUUGUUAGUUGCUACCAUUAAGUUGAGCACUCUAGCGAGACUGCCCGGGUUAACCGGGAGGAAGGUGGGGAUGACGUCAAAUCAUCAUGCCCCUUAUGUCUAGGGCUACACACGUGCUACAAUGGCAAGUACAACGAGAUGCAAUACCGCGAGGUGGAGCUAACCUAUAAAACUUGUCUCAGUUCGGAUUGUAGGCUGAAACCCGCCUACA
rnacentral:rRNA from 1 species